rnacentral:rRNA from 1 species
AGAGUUUGAUCCUGGCUCAGGAUGAACGCUGGCGGCGCGCCUAACACAUGCAAGUCGAACGGCACCUUUCUUCUGAUUUAAUCGAAUGGAAAAUUGUUGAACUGCACGGGGAAAAGCUGACCCCUCCCCGGGGAUACCCGCCCGAAAGGAGCGGGAUAAUACCGGAUACUCCAGUGGCUGAAUACCGCAUAAGCGCACAGGGUCGCAUGACCUGGUGUGAAAAACUCCGGUGGUAUGAGAUGGACCCGCGUCUGAUUAGCCAGUUGGUGGGGUAACGGCCUACCAAAGCAACGAUCAGUAGCCGACCUGAGAGGGUGACCGGCCACAUUGGGACUGAGACACGGCCCAAACUCCUACGGGAGGCAGCAGUGGGGAAUAUUGCACAAUGGGCGAAAGCCUGAUGCAGCAACGCCGCGUGAAGGAUGAAGGGUUACGGCUCGCAAACUUCUAUCAAUAGGGAAGAAACAAAUGACGGUACCUAAAUAAGAAGCCCCGGCUAACUACGUGCCAGCAGCCGCGGUAAUACGUAGGGGGCAAGCGUUAUCCGGAAUUACUGGGUGUAAAGGGAGCGUAGGCGGCAUGGUAAGCCAGAUGUGAAAGCCCUUGGGCUUAACCCGAGGAUUGCAUUCCGGGAUCUUCAAGGUAGAGUGCUAGGGGAGGAGAGGGGUGUUCAUCGGGUGUCGGUGUAGUAUGUGGAUAUAUGGAAGGGCACCACUGGCGAGGAGGCGUUUCUGUGGUGCCGAGGCCGCUGAGGGUCGAGAGAGUUGGAGCAGACACGAUGAGAUGACUCCUGUAGUGUCCCAGCAUAAGAUGAGUGCUAGGGUGGGGGGGGAAUGCUCCGGUCCGGCAGCAGCGCAAUCAUCAAUCCUCCUGGGGAGUGAGUCCGGCAAGGUUGGAUCUCAAUGGAAUGAAUGGGGGGGGGCCCGCGCGAUCGAGCGUGCAGUUGGAUUAGUUGGAAGGAGAGGGACGUUCCUUGGUAGGGCCAUCCACAUGGCUGAUCCGGGGGAGGCUCUGUCCUUGGGAACAGCCGAGACAGGUGGUGCAUGGUUGUCGUCAGCUCGUGUCGUGAGAUGUUGGGGUUAGUUCCGCCACGGGGGCCACCCCCUCUCCUCGGUACCCUGCGGUGAAGCUGGGCACUCUGGGGGGACUGCCGCGGUCAAGGUGGAGGAGGGCGGGGAUGACGUCAAGUCAUCAUGCCCCUUAUGCUUUGGGCUGCACACGUGCUACAAUGGCGGGUACAGAGGGAAGCCACCCCGUGAGGGGGAGCGGAUCCCGGAAAGCCGGCCCCAGUUCGGAUUGGGGUCUGCAACCCGCCCCCAUGAAGUUGGAGUUGCUAGUAAUCGCGGAUCAGCAUGCCGCGGUGAAUGCGUUCCCGGGCCUUGUACUCACCGCCCGUCA